CACUUUCCCCGGCCAUCUACAGCAUUCACAGCCCCAGCAGCACCCGCCACCACCACCUCUAACAUCGGACUCGACGUCGACAUUGAUAGCGCACAGGAGUUGUUUGACGGAAUACCCAUGAGGUAACCAGCGCGUCCUUUGGUCCCAAAAUGUUUGCGGCUUUGCUUAUCUCUUCACUCAUUCACUCAUUUCCAUGAUCCAACUCUUGGUUUUCCAUUCCAUGAGCUGUGACAAUGAUGCAACUCAUAGUUUUGGUCCUUUGGUUCGUGGCCAUCUUAAAGUUGAUUUUGGAGAUAAUUAUGGUUUCAAAUUACACCAAUAUGACUCUUAAUUUGUCUUUCUGUUUCACUCACUCGCAAAUUAUGUUGUUCUGCAUCUAUUUGUAUUUCCAGUUUUGUUCUCUUCAAGGUCAUUUGAAUACAUCCUGCUAUAUGAUCAUGAAGCUGAAUAGCUAAUAUAUUAGCUAUGUGGUUUUGUUGGCAUAUUUUGCUAGGCUAUUGAAAAUUAGGAUUCCAUGGUGCCAACUGCCAAGCCAUAGGGAAAAACACGAAUCUUGGUCUUCAGGCUCUGGCUGAUCACAUCCUCAUAAGAAGGCAGCCAAGGUCCUUAGUGGGUUUUUUUUAGUGCAUAUUCUUGUUAAGUUUGUCACGUGACUGGAUUGUAAGCCAUACUUUUUCUGCCAAUCAGCAGUGUUUUUCUCUCACAAUAAAUCAGCAAACAGUACCUUCAGCCAUAAUUUUUCAAACUGUACAUGUGCAAUUGACUUAGGCAACGUUCUGCCUAGAUCUAGUAUUAUCCAAAGCAAAUUUAUGAUAGCUUUCUAUUCUGACAAUGGUUAAUUGUAGCUUGUUAUUUAGUUAUUCUUUGUUCUUCUAUUUCAUUCUUUUCUUGUAAAUUUGUAAAGGUCAAUUGGGAUUUAACUGGCUAUAUGCAAGAUUGUUACUCAGAUGCAUUAGCUAAUCCAUAAUUGUUUGCUCUGAUGUGUUGGCCUGCUCUGUACAAAGACCUACAAUUUCAGUUAAUUGCUAUACAUUUUUCCUUCAGCACAUUAUGGUUGUUCAUCUCUGAAAAUUUUUGUAGGAUUGUUAAUAUGAAAUAAUUUUGGUUCUGACCCAUGCCUGUGAAUCUUUGAUGCAUCACUGGUUUGUAUUCCUGGUAUGUCAUACAUAUUUUCUGCUAAGCUCAACCCCUUCUUGUGCCCCAAGAAAAAUCUAAUAAAAGCUCAGAAAAUAAGAAGUCACACAAGCAUAGAUACUUUUCUGUGCUAAUAUUUAGUCUUUUUUUUGAGAGGUGCUAAUAUUUAAUCUUGAUGAUACAAAAGAAGGGAUCAAUGGCAUCAUUGGGUUAUGCUUUCUUUAUCCUAUGGGUGUGUGUUUCCACCAUUGCUGAUUUUAGGACAUCACCAUACCACUGCCCAACUGUUUAUUCAUUUUUAUCUACUGUAAAAAAAACAUAAUAAUGUAUGCAGCUAGAGUUUUUAAUCCUUUAGCUUUUGUCAUGCUCAUCGGCAAGUCAUAUCAUGAUAAGUUCUCAGUUUGGUGAUGGAAAAUUGUUGAUUAUGGCUAAUGAGAAUGGAGAAUAGAUUUGUCAAUAGGAAGCACACAGAGAAAAUGAAAUUGCACAUCUGUUUUUAGCUAGGAAGGCAGUAUAUGUUAUGAAAGAAGCUUAGAGAACUUUUGAGUCGUGCCUUGUGAAACAGAUUAUAAUAUUGUCAUGCUUUAUCAGAUGUCACUCAUUCUUUGAAGUGUUAUCAUUUUGUUUGUCAAUGCUUGAAGGUUGUAGGUGACAGGGGACUCAAGCUACUGCUAGCGACCUUCAUUUUUAGUGUCAUUGUUAGUGCUAACCUAUAAAGAAUCAACUAAUUGCUUUGGGCCUCGAUGUUAUCAUUGAAUUUGAGGGUUCCUCAAAAAGUCAAAAUUUUCCUUUCUCUAGGGUUUCCCGAAUUUUCUGAAAUCGUUGUUAAAGUGCUCAAUCUUUUAAGAUGUUUUUGGUCAAAUAUAUUCUACAUAAUCUAUCAAAGUUGUGAUUCCAAUUUCAUGUCAAUUGUAAUUGGAUUUGUUUUUGUUGAUUUUGUCAAAUAGAUCGAGCUGAUGUUUUCUCUGUUUAGUCUCCAGCAGCAGCUUGUGAUCUCUUUGUUUUGUUUUUCAGUGUUUCAGUCUAGCAGCUGCUCAACUCUCCUUUCAUUUGUUUUUCAGUUUGUAAGCAGCGCAACUCUCCUUUCAUUUUCAGACCAGUGGUAGCAGUUUGCUCAACUCGAUUUCAUUUUCUCUUUGCAGUACUAUAGCAGCAACAGAUCGACACCUUUCUAUUUUGGUGCCCAGCAAUUUGACAACAGCAAAGCUAACAGAAGCAGCAUCUCGGAACUCUUCUCAAUUGGUCAGAUCGCCAGGAGCCACAGGUUCAGUGCAACAACAUUCCAUUCUUUUGCUUGCAUGCUUAGCCAGUGGUACUCUAUGCUGAGGUCGUUUGCUUAUUCAAGCACUAUACAUUGUUGUUAUUAAGCUGAGUUAAACUUUAUUUGUCUCGUCACUAUUUCUUUUCCAUACUCUUAUUGUAUUGAAAAUUUAAGGCUUUGUAAAACACACGGGCAUAGAGCUCAAGACGCCAAUGUAUGGG
rnacentral:lncRNA from 1 species